AUGCUUAUGGCGCAGAUUGAGGAUAGAGUAAAUGAGCUAAAACAAGGGGAUAAGUCGGUGAUGGAGUAUGUAGCAGAAUUGCAGCAUUUGUGGGCUGACUUAGACCACUAUGAUCCACUGGAGUUACCACAUUCAGAAUGUAUAGUUGCUACUAAGAAGUGGGUAGAGCGUAGGAGAGUGAUGAAAUUCUUGAAGGGACUUAGCUCAGAAUUUGAAGGAAGGCGUGCUGGGUUGUUUCAUCAGCCAAAGCUCCCCUCGCUUGAGGAGGCAGUUGCAGCAAUGGCACAGGAGGAGGUCAGGUUGAAGUUGACCAGGACUGGAGAAGCGAAUGCAUCUCGCUCAGCAUUUACUGUGUCUGAAUGGAAGGAGACAAGAGAGUGCUUCAACUGUGGAGAGAAAGGUCACAUAAGCAUCAAUUGCACAGCACAACGCAGAGAAAUACGUGGUAGGGGAAGAGGUUACAGCCGAGGUGGAUACCGGGGAGUUAGAGGCAGAGGUAACUCGAGGGGUUCGAAUUAUUCCAGUGGCUUCAAAGCAAACUUGGCUAACUUGGCAACGCAAGAAGAAGGGACGUCAACAACCUCUCAAGGGGAGUCGAAGAGUAGAAGCCAGGAGGACAACACCUUUGGGAACUUUGCCCACUUUGUCUACACAGGGGAAGGAGAGGAUGACUGGAAGGAAACUUGGGAAGGAACCAGGCGUAGUGGAUUGUGGUAUAUGGAUCGUGAUGUGUCUAGGUCUGGUGCUAGUCCUAUUUUGGCUGUACUAGUUGGAGUAAGUGAGACAAUGGCGAUGAUCCAUCACUGUCGCAUGGGGCAUAUGGCUUUUGAUAAGAUGAGUAAGAUGUUUCCUGAUGUAAUGCGUGGAGUAGACAAGAGUAAGCUUGUGUGUGAUGCAUGUGAAUAUGCAAAGCACACAAGAAUCUCAUAUUUGAGUAAGGGGCUAAGGAGUAUAUCCCCGUUUAUGCUGAUUCACUCUGAUGUGUGGACAUGCCCUGUUGUUUCUGUUAGUGGAAUGAAAUAUUUUGUGACAUUUAUAGACUGCCACACUCGCAUGACUUGGGUGUACCUCAUGCGACAUAAAGAUGAGGUAUUCCAAUGUUUUCAGGAGUUUUAUGCCUAUGUGCGAAACCAAUUCAAUGUGCAGGUGCAGGUGAUCAGAUCUGACAAUGGAACUGAAUAUGUAAACAAGCAAUUUGGAGGUUUCCUGUCAGCACAAGGCAUAAUGCACCAAACAUCAUGUCCAGAUACCCCUGCUCAGAAUGGUGUUGCAGAAAGGAAAAACCGACACAUUUUAGAAGUGGCUCGAUCACUUAUGUUCACCAUGAAUGUGCCAAAAUUCUUGUGGAGUGAAGCUGUCAUGACUGCAACGUUCCUGAUCAACCGGAUGCCUUCAAAAAUGCUUGGUAUGAAGUCCCCAUGUGAGAUGCUAUUUGGGGAGAACAAAUUCUCAGUUCUUCCGAAGUUAUUUGGGUGCACCUGCUUCGUUAGAGAUCACAGACCAGCAGUGGGAAAGCUGGAUCCACGAGCUGUAAAAUGCAUAUUUGUUGGAUAUCCUGCAGGGCAGCGAGGCUAUAAGUGUUGGAGUCCUGCUGAAAGGCGCACAUUUGUAAGUAUGGAUGUCACCUUUCGAGAAUCUGAGCCUUUCUAUGGUGAGAAGACAGAUCUCAGCACUUUAUUCGAAGAACUUGACCACUCACAAUCUAUGCAGGGUGGUCAAGAGGGGGAGUGCAACUUGAGUGGUGAGUGCAGCACCAAUGGCGACAAGGAGCAGCCAAUACCAACCCCGAAAAUAGUGGGAUCCUUCAUUCCAGUUGUAGUUGAUGGGGCUGAACAGCAGAGGUGGCAGAGACCAAAUGAGGAAAGGAAUCCUCAUGUGUAUACAAGAAGGAAGAGAGGUGUGGAGGAACAAGUGCAUGAGGAGCAGUCAAAAGAAACUAUGGAACAGGGGGAGCAGUCAGAAGAAACUCAAGCGACAGGAAGCUCAUCUGAAGUGGAGUCAUAUGAAAAUUCAAGUACUGAAGAAGCAUCACCUAACCUGCCAAUUGCUCUCAAGAAGGAAGUAGCAAGGAAAACUUUGAGCAAGGGCAAUCUUGAGCAUGACAUCAGUAAUUAUGUCACCUAUGAAGCCCUAUCACCUUCAUUUAGAGCAUUUGUCGCAUCACUUCAAGCCGUGAUUGUUCCUAAAGACUGGAAAGAAGCAAGACAAGAUCCAAAGUGGUGUGACGCCAUGAGGGAAGAGUUGGAGGCCCUGAGAAAGAACAAAACAUGGGAGCUAGCAAAUCUUCCAUAUGGGAAGAAGGCAGUCAGUUGUAAGUGGAUCUUCACAGUGAAGCAGAAUCCUGAGGGUAAGGUUGAGCGUUACAAGGCAAGACUGGUAGCCAGAGGGUACAGCCAAACGUAUGGUAUUGAUUAUGACGAAACAUUCGCCCCAGUUGCAAAGAUGAAUACAGUGAGGAUUCUAAUCUCAUGUGCAGCUAACUUUGGAUGGCCACUACACCAACUUGAUGUAAAAAAUGCCUUUUUACAUGGAGAUCUACAAGAGGAAGUCUACAUGGAAAUUCCUCCUGGACUUUCUACACCUGGGACUGUUGGGAAGGUUUGUAGAUUCAGAAAAUCUCUCUAUGGUUUGAAGUAA
rnacentral:rRNA from 1 species